GUCAGGCGGACACAGAAGAGACUCAGUAUUAGGAGCACAGCUAACACUCAGCAACAGGAAUGCAUAUUUCAUUAUACUCAACUGGUUAGCGACCAUUACUAAUGAGCUGCAUGUCUACCAGCUGCAGAUGUAGAAACAUUUACACUGUGUGUAUCUGUGAAUUGUUGGUUCAGUCUUCACACUGCCAGAGGCAAUAAACAAAUCAUUCUGCUUUGCUUCCUCCCCCACAUCCCUUCUCCUCCUCCCUGCUCUGCCUCUCUCUAUCCCUCUGGGCACCCAAGCAGAGAGAGAGGAAGAAAAAUAGAGAGAGUGAGAGGGAAAGUGGGAGUAAGAAGGUGGAAUGUUGAAUGCAGCAGAACAGUGGACCUGAUGGGAGGUGAAGUGGGACGGUGAUGCACCAUAGAAGCUGAUAACUCCAGCAGGAAGUGGAGCAGGGCCAGGUGAACCAGCCGAGGUCACAGACCUACCUCCAGGGGACUACUGGGUCUUUCUAGAGAUCAGACAGUGUACCUGUGCCCGCGGAUGUCAGACUGGUCACACACCCCUCCCAGGGCAAUGCGGUGGAACUCCCUGCCCAGGGUACGGGCGAUGGAGCGCCCCACACUGGUCUUUCCCACCCCAGGCGGCCCCACGAAGCACAGGAUGGGCCCCUUGAGGGUGCUCUUCAGCUGCCUCACAGCCAGGUACUCCAGCACUCUCCUCUUCAGCUUCUCCAUGGCAUAGUGGUCACUGUCCAACAGCACCCGCGCAGCAUGGAUAUCAAGACAGUCUGCAGAGACAAUGCGGAUCAUGGUUUAAUUCCAACACCGUGAAUAUUGUCAAAGACCUUAUCUAAUGUCAACCAAGUGAUUAAGAUAACCAAUAAUCUAGAUUGUAAUAACAAGUAUUGUUUUAUGUGGCUACAUGACUAUAUAAUAAUAAUAAUAAUAUAUGCCAUUUAGCAGACGCUUUUAUCCAAAGCGACUUACAGUCAUGUGUGCAUACAUUCUACGUAUGGGUGGUCCCGGGAAUCGAACCCACUACCCUGGCGUUACAAGCGCCAUGCUCUACCAACUGAGCUACAGAAGGACCAAGCAGACAUAUGGUAUGGACUCCCCUGUGUGGUAAUGCUGAAUCAUCUAAGCAAAUGUCCCCAAUACUCUCAGUGUCUAAUGACUGGCUAUAGAGGACAAAGCAACCAGUGACAAAAUAUGAUAUUGAGCUCCCUCCAGUGGUAGAAGCCUUUAAUUCCAUUUUGAACAGAGAGUUCAAAAAAAGAGAGCUGUGGUGGACUUCCUCGGGGUACACUUUGGUUUCUACCCCUCGUCCCAAAAAAGUGCCCUAUCCCAUUACAGAGAGUUUCAAGGUAUAACGUGCAUAUGAUGUGCUCUGUAUGUAUGGAUAUGUACAUUUCUAAAUUCAAAAAAUAAAGUGUAAAUGAAUAAAGAAAUGAACCUGAGAUUGUAGUGGUGUCAUAGUGGUGUACUGUGCAUACCUGUGGUACUUUUGCUCCAGGGCAAUUCCACCAUAAGAUCCAGGUAGUUUCGGGUGAGAGCGUACUCUGGCAUGGACUGGGGCAUCUUCUUCAAUCUGUGUAGAUUAACAUACAGUGCCUUCAGAAGGUAUUCACACACCAUUACUGUUUCCAAAUUUUGUUGUGUUACAGCCGGAAUAUAAAAUGUAUUACAUUUAGAUUUUGUGUCACUGGACUACACACCAUACCCCAUAAUGUCAAAGUGGAAUUAUGUUUUAAGAAAUGUUUACAAAUGAAUAAAAAAUGAAAAGCU